rnacentral:rRNA from 1 species
CCCUUAGAUGUUCUGGGCCACACGCGCGCUACACUGAUGCAUUCAACGAGUCUAAAACCUGCUCUGAUAGGGGUGGGUAAUCUUUUGAAUGUGCAUCGUGAUUGGGAUAGAUGAUUGCAAUUUUUCAUCUUCAACGAGGAAUGCCUAGUAAACGCAAGUCAUCAGCUUGCAUUGAUUACGUCCCUGCCCUUUGUACACACCGCCCGUCGCUCCUACCGAUUGAAUGAUCCGAUGAAUAUCAUGGAUUGAGGAUGCAAGCAGGUUCGCCUGUCUUCAUCUUCGAGAAGUGAAGUAAAUCUUAUCAUUUAGAGGAAGGAGAAGUCGUAACA